rnacentral:rRNA from 1 species
UUGAACGCUGGCGGCAUGCUUUACACCUGCAAGUCGAACGGCAGCGCGGGCUUCGGCCUGGCGGCGAGUGGCGAACGGGUGAGUAAUACAUCGGAACGUGCCCAGUAGUGGGGGAUAGCUCGGCGAAAGCCGGAUUAAUACCGCAUACGACCUGAGGGUGAAAGCGGGGGAUCUUCGGACCUCGCGCUAUUGGAGCGGCCGAUGGCAGAUUAGCUAGUUGGUGGGGUAAAGGCCUACCAAGGCGACGAUCUGUAGCUGGUCUGAGAGGACGACCAGCCACACUGGGACUGAGACACGGCCCAGACUCCUACGGGAGGCAGCAGUGGGGAAUUUUGGACAAUGGGCGAAAGCCUGAUCCAGCAAUGCCGCGUGUGUGAUGAAGGCCUUCGGGUUGUAAAGCACUUUUGGCGGGAACGAAAAGGACUGUGCCAAUACCACGGUUCGAUGACGGCACCCGCAGAAUAAGCACCGGCUAACUACGUG